rnacentral:rRNA from 1 species
UACGUAGGGGGCUAGCGUUGUCCGGAAUCAUUGGGCGUAAAGAGCGUGUAGGCGGCCCGGUAAGUCCGCUGUGAAAGUCGGGGGCUCAACCCUCGAAUGCCGGUGGAUACUGUCGGGCUAGAGUGCGGAAGAGGCGAGUGGAAUUCCUGGUGUAGCGGUGAAAUGCGCAGAUAUCGGGAGGAACACCGGUGGCGAAGGCGGCGACCUGGGUCGAUACUGACGCUGAGGUGCGAAAGCGUGGGGAGCAAACAGG